rfam:Picea glauca, whole genome shotgun sequence.
CGACCCCAGCUCAAGCGAGAACACCCGCUGAGUUUAAGCAUAUAAUUAAGCGGAGGAAAAAAAACUUACAAGGAUUCCCCUAGUAACGGCGAGCGAACCGGGAAGAGCCCAACAUGAAAAUCGGGUGGCAGCAUCGCCUGAAUUGUAGUCUGUAUAAGCGUCCUUAGCGGCAGAUCGGGCCCAAGAACCCUGGAAGGGGGCACCUGAGAGGGUGAUAGCCCCGUCAGGCUGGGACCCUGCCACACCACGAGGUGUUGUCGGUUAGUCGGGUUGUUUGGGAAUGCA